rnacentral:misc_RNA from 1 species
AACGCACCUUGCGCCCUUUGGUAUUCCGAAGGGCAUGCCUGUUUGAGUGUCAUUAAAUUCUCAACUUUGAAUUAGUUUUCAAAGCUUGGAUGUGAGGGCUUGCUGGCUUCCUUCAGUGGCGGUCUGCUCCCUUUAAAUGCAUUAGUGGGGAUCCUUUGUGGACGGUCACUUGGUGUGAUAAUUAUCUACGCCUCGUACUAUGAAACAAUCUAAUGGAACCUGCUCAUAACCGUCCGCAAGGACAAUUUCUUGACCAUUUGACCUCAAAUCAGGUAGGACUACCCGCUGAACUUAA